ensembl:lncRNA
GCCAAGUUGUUCCUCACACAUAACUAUUUGCAUUUGAAAAUUCAGCCCCAGAGAGGAUCUCUGCAGUUUUGUUUAUAAACACAUGUAAUUAGGAGUUUGUACUGUGCCCUCAAUAACAGAGGAAUCUACACUGCCAGCUGAAGUCAAGAUCAUCCCCAUCUGAGGCUGACUUAACUACUUCUUCCUGAGUGGCUGCAGUGCUGCAACACAAGAGUUCACAUGUCCUCAGUCCUCUUCCAGUAAAAGCUGAUCACCAUACCUUAGCUACAUUUCACAUUAGUUAUCACAGAACACAGCCACCACUGCAUUUACACUGGAUUCAGUUUGGAUAUCAGGAAAAUACUCUUUACUGAGAGAGGGUGGUGGGCACAGAACAGGCUCCCCAGGUCAGUGUUCAAGACACUGCGCCUUCCAGAGUUCAUUAAGCAUCUGGACAAUGCUCUCAGUGCUCAAAUUUUGCAAACUGGAGUUGGAUUUUAAUGUGUGAAUGAAUGCUUUCAAACAGAAGGACUCUGCUUUCAUCCACUGCCUAUAGAGCUACUGUGGUAAACAAAGUCCCAGAGGUGACAGUCUAGACUGCAUUGCUGUGAUUCGCUUUGCUGGUACGUACCUAGUCUGCUUUUCAA